AGUACCAUUUAGCUCAGUAAAUCAGUAUAGAUGUAUGAUAGAUAUGUAUACUGUGAACUCCUAUACAGUAUCUAAGUACAAAUAAAUUGUAUUAACUCUAUAAAUAUUACAUAGAUGCAAAACACGAAUCAGAAUUAUAAGUUAACAAUAAAAAUUCUAAGCAACCAAGAAGUGGAUUCAAUAUUUUUCGCGUUUUUUUGUUAAUAUAAAAUGUUUAGAAUGUUAUAAGGGAAGGUGUUUAAGAAAAAACAAGUACGUUUAUCGAGAUCAAUCAAACAGCUUUAUUUAGGCAUACUAAAUUAACCGGCGCACCCAGUAUUUCUCGUGAAAACGUUUUUUCUUGCACAAGAAAAAAUAGACUAUUUUUAGUAAUCUAAAAUUCAGGCGAUUUCAAUUGCUGCAGCUUGCCAUGCAAUAAUUAUACCCAUAUUAAAAAAAUUUUUAUAUUCCGAAUCGCAGUAUAAUCAAGAAUAAUGAAGCUACCUACGAUUUAUUUUCUAUUAUUUAGUUGUGUCGAGUUUUCCUACGCCAGCUAUAUAUACAUACUAAUUAAAACAUAUUAGCCUUAAAACUAAGAUACUUGUUUCUUGACUUACUAACGGAUGUGACUAUAUCGAUUCGUCUAUUGAAACUGAUCAUUAAUAUACUCCGUUACUGCUUUGCAA
rnacentral:sRNA from 1 species